UUUAAACUAUAGAUCCCAUCCUUUCUCGAUUAUUUGCAGUAGAAACAGAAAUGGGGAGGAAAGACGGGAAGGGACAACUGACACACUGUCUCCAAUCCCUCUCUCUCUCUCUCUCUCUGGCUCCCUUGUCGACGCCCAACGCAUCGCAUCGUCGAUUCCCAUUUCCUUUGGCGGUGACUGGGUCGUAUCGUGGCGCCUCGAUCUUCUCAGCACCAAUGUGGAGGUGAUUCGUGUAAGGCGUUGCUUUGAUCGCUUGUUUGUUUCGACUUGCGGUCGAUCGAUCUAUUGUUUGCCCUAAUUGUACUUGUUUCUUUUGGGUUCUCGAUGAUAUUGGAGCUUCUGUUCUUCGGUGCCUGCCGUAUAAGGGAAUUCUUCGUAUAAUUUUCGUAAUUUGUGGCGUAAUUGUUGAUUUGAGUUUGUCGUCUGCAUUGAUUUAAGUUCAGGGGUGAUACUAUCCUGGUUCGAUUUGGUGAGGCACUGGUUUUAUCUGUAUUUUUUAGGAAGAAUGCGUUCGGAGAAUGCUGCGACAGUUUGUCCUAUCUCUAGCUUCUCUUGAUUGAUCUUUUGCCCUGUCUGUUCUAGUUGAUACGAGGUUCUUACAUAGGGUUUGGUGAUGGACGGGACUGCAAAGAGGGAGAGCCAUUUGCCAUUUGCUCGGACUCCUGUGGAAGGGGGAGUUCAGGAUGCUUGUGGUGAUGCAUGCAGCAUCCGUCUUGAACCCCUCUGCGAAAUUGAUCCUUCAACGGUGCCAGAGAAAAUCUCGGUGUCCCAUGUGUUGGCGGUCCAUCGGUUUGAAGGAUCCCACCUGGUUCAUAUGAAUUGGCCAGGAACUACUAGAGGCCAUAGAAAGGGAAAGCAGCAUUAGACUUGAUCGUGCAAGGACCACCACAAUUUUUCAUCGUCCAGUGCAUGGAGAUUUCAAUUUGCAACAUAUUCUUUCUUUCUCGCCUAUUCAUGGCAAUUGCCAGUAGCUGGAAGUGAUGAAGAAUUUGAAGAGCAUAUUAUCCAGCACUUUGUUGCUGCUGCUGCCAUGGGAAGAGCACGCCACAUUGCUUGAAGAGGUCGGCUUAGAUCAGGAUCUCAUGAUCACCUGCAGUAUCUGGUUUUCUCCACAAAUUCAAUUGCAUCGUCUGUGGGCUUAACAUCUUCCUCAGCUCCAAAAGGGGAAAAUGAAAUAGCUCCUGCAACAGUUGUUGCUAACCCGUCAUCUCCAAUAAGUAAUCCAGGAGGGGAUUCUGCCGAAGUAACAAAUAUUAUGCUGGCUCAUGCCAGUAACAAAUAUUCUUACUUCAAGUCCAAGCAAACCUGCUGGCCAGUCAAAUCUUCGGCUAACCAAGAUGGACCAGAACCAUCAGACUUCCAAUUGUUCUCAGAAUCUCUGAAAUCUCGUCUGAAUGCAGUUUCACCGAGCUAAUUCAGAGCUUAUGUGCUGUUUUCAGUAUCCUGGUAAUGCGGAUGCGGGUUGUGCCCUUCACAUUUUGUUGCAAUAGGUACAAAGAGCACUAAAGGAAGGAGGGAGAGGCUAUUUUCACGUAGGAACUCUGUGGCGGGUAUUGGUUGUGAAGUUGGGAGACAAGUUGGUGUUGGAAUUGGUACCAUGUCAAGAAUAAUGGAGCUCCUGGUACUUUUAUCUCACAUAGUGCUGCAGUGCACUCAGAUAUGGAACCAGGUAAUAAUGGUGUCAUUGCCAAUCGUGCCGAAACUUCUCCAAAUAAUGGCACUACCUUUGCAACUUCAGGCCCCGGUGAAAGUGAUCUACUCCUUUUCUAAAGAUUUGAGCUUGGUUUAGUGCUCAAUAUCGAAGGUACCUACAUUUCUGCUAGCACGAGAUUCCCUUGCGUUGGUGAAUUUACUUGUCAUAGAAAUCAGAUGAAUGAUACCAGAAUACACAACUGUUAUGAUUUCACUACACCAUUGUGCCUUUGAUUUUGUUCAA